UGUAUCUGAUGCCCUCUAGUGGCUGUCUGCAGUAUCACUGGAAUCAUAUGGGAUUAAUGUUCCGUCUUAUUCUUCCUCUUCUUCCUCUUAUUAUUAUUAUUAUUAUUAUUAUAUUUUAUAAUCACUUCCGCAUUCUCCGAUUCCUGUAGAAUUCUAUGGGCGUGUCGCUGUUUUUUCCCCUCGCGCUUGUUUCCACAUUCUCCGCUUACUUUUCCAAAUGUUGCAGGUGGAGUUUCAUGUAAAUGAGGGGGGCUUUAGCGUCACCAUUGGUCCAUUACAGCUCCUCUUCUAGCCAAUCAAUCGAAGAGGGGAGGUGACGUCACUCCAUUGCGACUCAUGGCUGUGUUGACAGGUGAAGAAAGAUGGAUGACCGUCAGGCAGCAAAUCCCGGAUAAUUACAGGCAGUGCUUUUAGAGAGGCUUUUAUCACGACUACAGGAAGCCAUGCAGCGCGUGCCUCUGGACCUGGAUUAUUUAUAUUUUUUCUGCACAAAUAGCAUGAUAUUGAUUAGUGCACACACAAAUCAUGAACAUAUGGCUCAAGGGGUAGUGCAAUGUCUUUCAAACCUGUGUUCUGUUCUUUUUAAUCGACUUUCCUCAUCAGUUGUGAAUGAAAUGGCUGGACCAACGGGACGUCCCAAACUCGUUGUGUCUGAGCAGCAACUUAGACAAUUGACUGAAAUUGGACUGAGUGUACACUUCAUUUCAAAACUGCUUGGCAUGUCAUCACGAACAGUUGAACGGAGAAUGCAAGAGUUUGGGUUGGGUCUCCAACCUUUUUGUGAGCGAGGGCUGUCUGAAGGGAUCAAAUAGUCUAAAGGGAUACUUUUUUUUCCCAUUAUUUAACCGGAAAAUAAGAAAAGUGAAAUGUUAGAACGUAUUAAAUUGUUAAGUAUAACUUGAAUCAUUUUAAAAAUGAUAAAUUAAUUUGGCUCAAGUUUAAAGUUUACUUAAAUGCAUUUUAGUGUAAGUUUAUCUGUUCCAAUAUUUUUGCUCACCCACCAAAUUUUUUUUUUUUUUAAAUAGUGAUGCCAAAAUGUGUCUGAGGCCCUCUAGUGGCUGCCUGCAGCACAAUUUUUACCUCAGCACAUCCUCAUGUUAGAGAAUGGGACAGUUGGUAAUCAUAAAAUUUUAAGUUGUCAUGUCCACAAGUUAUUUUCCGGAAUGGUGUUCUGUCACGCUCAGUUGACCUUGAUACCCGAUACAAUUUUUGAUCCUCUUUUUUCCCUCAGCAGCUAUAUUAGAAUUAGCACAUUAAUAUAAACCUGUGAUUUAUCUCACAGCUAAACUACUGUUAGAGCUGUUGUUAUAGAAAAUUCAUUAUCCUCAUGAAUUUAACAUAAAAUAUUUCAGUUGGAUUUGAAAAAUCAACACUGUGGAGCUUUGAUAUUAGGCACUGAACUGAUAAGAAAGGAGAAUGAAGAUGAAAGGAGACUACAAGACCGUUCCUGUCUCUGAGCAGGCCGUCAACAAUCAGCUGGCUUUAGCUGAAAUAGCUGGAGAGUCAGCAACAUUGUGAAUCAGACUAAGCAGUAUACUGAACCCUGUUUGUGUCACAGAGCCGCUAAUAAACUUGCACUUAAGUGUUA